CCACUCAUUAUUUAAUAUUUCAUUAUUAAGUCUCCGUUUGGGUUUGUACCUUAGGCUUUGAUCCCUGAAUCAAUUUCUAUUUUUAUUGUGUUAUGACCCACAAAGAAAGUAUUAACUAUUUCUGACUUUUGGUGUUUGUUUGUAAUACCUUUGUGCACAAGUAUAUUUUUUUAAGUUUCAUGUAGUACAGAGAGAGAUCUACAUUAUUUUACUGUUCCAUUUAGAAGAUCUAUAAGCCUUUUAAUGUCUGAAAUCAUUUACUAGAUCUAGAGGCUGUAUUUGCUUCUGUUAUUACUGUUUUUCCUAUUGAUUUGUCUGUUUAUGUUCAAGAUCUUUGAUAUUUCUUCUUCCCAAGAAUAUUUAGUGCUUUCAAUCUUCCCCUCACCCCUUAUUUUUCCUGUCACCCAUGUUCUGAUUCCCUGCCUUCUGAUUGUGGUUUCCUUGGGGGCUGUAUCUCAAAAUGUCUCAGCCUCCUCCCAUACUGCGCAAGUCAGAAUUCACCAGUAUAGGUCUCUGCCUCAAUUGACUUUUGGGUGUCAGGACUAGCCCUUGCUGAAUGAUGUACUUUCCUUCAGAUUUACGGUGCUACACAGGCUUCCCUCCCAUCUAGUCCUGUCCUGGUCAUCUUUAGCACUCCUUCUGCUUCUUAGUUCUUUGACCCAGCACUGGCAGUACAGAGCUUUGCAGCACUGAUACUCUGGUGUUGUAGUCCCUGGGAAGGUUUUUGCUCCUGAAGACUGACUGUGGAGACCUGAGCAAACUUCUGCCAUCUAGAUCCUGGGUCACUACAGCGCUGGAAAGGAGGAUAGUACAAGACAGAACACUCACCCUGGCCUGGCCUGCAUCACAGCAAAGAAUCACAGGGAUGUGAGACCCAAUGGGCUCCGGGCUUGGCCCACAACGAGUCCGCGCCAAUUGGUCCUAUGAAAUAUCUCUUUUCCGGGAGCUGGUCUUUAUGUUUGGUAUCUGCUCUCUUGGACAAGCAGUCAGCCUGGAGGCCAUGUUUCCCUCAUGGUCUUGCAUCCUUCAUCAUCACAUUCUAUGCUGCCCUGUCGUCUGGAUACAGAGUCUGUCCAAGAAGAGAUCUGAGCAAUAAUAAAGAUUUGGCUUUGGUGACUGGCCUUACUGGGGAUGAGGAAUGUGAAUAUCAAAAUUGAAUCUGAAAUAUAAAAUAUAAAUAUUAAAAUAUAUGUAAAACACAUAAAUAGAAAAUUUUCAAUUUGAAAA
rnacentral:lncRNA from 1 species